UAGUUCAACAGAUGAGUCUCCUCCCAAUGACUGCAGAGGUGUUUGAUGACAGAGAACUGUUUGAUUCCAGCUGUGAACAUCAGACCAAACUCUACUCACAAAACUGAAUCAUACUGAACAUUCAGUUACAGCAUCUCACCUCUACAAACAUGGAACAACUCACUGUUAUUUUGUUCUUCUCAGCUCUCAUAGGUGUCAGCUGUGAAGAACUCACUCCAGUUAAGAAUGAAGAGCACAGUUUAGAAGACAGCACCGUCACUCUGUCGUACAGUUACUCCAAACAAGCUGAUGGCAGUGAUUCUUUCUUCUGGUAUCAACAAUAUCCAGGAAAACAACCACAGUUCAUCAUCUCUCUCACAGGAACAGGACGACUUAUAUCAGAUCCAGUCUCUGGACUGUCUGUUACAGUGAGAGAGGAUAAAAAACAUCUGGAUCUACAGAUCUCCUCUGCUGCACUGACUGACUCUGCUGUGUACUACUGUGCUCUGCAGCCCACAGUGACAGGAAACACCACAACUCUGUACAAAAACCUCUGGAGAGAAGACAACACAAUACUCCACAACAUCCACUAGAGGGAGUCACUGACUAUAAAC